ensembl:snRNA U2 U2 spliceosomal RNA
AUCACUUCUUGGUCUUUUUGCUAAGAUCAACUGUGGUAUUCGUUUUUGUCAGUUUAAUGUGUGAUUCAUCCCUUAUCUGAGACAAUAUAUUAAAUGGACUUUUAGAACUAGGAGAUGGACUAGAAAGUUGCUCCACCUACUUCAUGCCUCCACACAUUGACUUGAUAUUGCAGUACUUCCACAAAAAAGAAAAGAAA